AGUGGAAUUGCUGAAUUAUAUGGUAAGCUUAUUUUUAACUUUUAAAGAAACUGUCAAAAUGUUUUCCAAAGUAGCUGUACCAAUUAUAUCCUACCAGCAAU
rnacentral:pre_miRNA from 1 species